AUGGAAGAAGAAAUUGAUGAAACUGUGAGCUCAUUGGAUGAAAAAGAUGAGGAGGAGAGCGAAGAACAAAAGGAGGAAGAGCGGAUCGACCACCCGUGCCCACCUUCUAAUGAGAGUAACUCUUCAACUCAUACAUUGUUUAAUUUCCCUUUGUGCUUACCGAAGGAUGAUUGCUAUGAUGAUUGUUAUGAUCCCGUUGAUUCUCUUGAAAUACCCCUUUUUGAUGAUGCUUGCUAUGCUUGUGGCCAAGAUGCCAGUAUGAAUUAUGCUUAUGGAGAUGAACUUGCUAUAGUUCCUUAUGUUAAACAUGAAAUUGUUGCUAUUGCGCCCACACAUGAUAGUCAUAUUAUCUUUUUGAAUUCUCCCAACUACACUAUAUCGGAGAAGUUUGCCCUUAUUAAGGAUUAUAUUGAUGGGUUGCGUUUCACUACUACACAUGAUGAUUUUGAUAGAUAUAAUAUGCAUGUGCUUGCUGCUCCAACUUGUAAUUAUUAUGGGAGAGGAACUACAUCUCCGCCUCUUUAUGUUUCCAACAUGAUAGAAUUGCAAGAAACUGCUUAUACUAUGCAUUGGCCUUUACUUGGUGUGCAUGAAUUGUUCUUUUAUGACAUGCCGAUGCAUAGGAAGAGAGUUAGACUUUGUUGUUGCAUGAUAUAUGUUACUUUGUGCUCACUACUAAAUCACAAAUCAUUGUUAAUUAAAAUUGGCUUUGGUAUACCUUGGGAUCCGAGUGGAUUCAUUACUUGA
rnacentral:rRNA from 1 species